GAUGAACGCUGGCGGCGUGCCUAAUACAUGCAAGUCGAGCGAACGGACGAGAAGCUUGCUUCUCUGAUGUUAGCGGCGGACGGGUGAGUAACACGUGGAUAACCUACCUAUAUGACUGGGAUAACUUCGUGAAACCGGAGCUACUACCGGAUAAUAUUUUGUACCGCAUGGUUCAAAAGUGAUAGACGCUCUUCCUGUCUCUUUUAGAUGGAUCCGCGCUGCAUUAGCUAGUUGGUAAGGUAACGGCUUACCAAGGCUACGAUGCAUAGCCGACCUGAGAGGGUGAUCGGCCACACUGGAACUGAGACACGGUCCAGACUCCUACGGGAGGCAGCAGUAGGGAAUCUUCCGCAAAGGGCGAAAGCCUGACGGAGCAACGCCGCGUGAGUGAUGAAGGUCUUCGGAUCGUAAAACUCUGUUAUUAGGGAAGAACAGAUGUGGAAGUAACUGUGCACAUCUUGACGGUACCUAAUCAGAAAGCCACGGCUAACUACGUG
rnacentral:rRNA from 1 species